rnacentral:sRNA from 1 species
AGGGUCUCACCAUGUUGCCCAGGCUGGUCUUGAACUCCUGGACUCAUCCUAAAGUGCUGGCCUCUCAUUCCCUGUCUGUGCACACCUCACGGCAAGGGCCAGCCCGUUUCCUCCCGGUCACCUCCAAAUCUUGCUGCUUUUAAUUCAACUCAGAGCAACACAGUUCCUCUGACAUGGGCCUUGGCUGUGCUUCUUUGGGGGUGAAGAGAUUGGGGAGGAAGUCUCCACCCCUGGGAGGCAGAAGCCAGGCAUAGGGCGCUGGCUAGGACUCCAGUACCAUGAAGGGAGGCAGUGAGAGCAGACAUCUGUGCCUCAUUCCUGAUCUCAAGGGGAAAGCAAGAACAGGGGAGGCUUCCUCAGGAUCUCGAACCUGUGGAAGGAGGACCAGUCUGUGUACUUCUGCCAAGUCCAGCUGGACAUACAGAUCAGGGAGGCUGUCGUGGCAGUCCAUCAAGGGGACCCACCUCACCAUCACCCAGGCCCUCAGGCAGCCCCUCCACAGGGCCCCUCUCCUGCCUGGACAGCUCUGCUGGUCUCCCCGUCCCCUGGAGAA